rnacentral:rRNA from 1 species
GACGAACGCUGGCGGCAUGCCUAAUACAUGCAAGUCGAACGCUGAAGCACUCUGCUUGCAGAGUGCGGAUGAGUGGCGAACGGGUGAGUAACACGUGGGAAAUCUGCCUAUAAGAGGGGGAUAACAUUCGGAAACGGAUGCUAAUACCGCAUAUAUUCUUGGACCGCCUGGUCCUUGAAAGAAAGACGGCUUUGCUGUCGCUUAUAGAUGAUCCCGCGGCGUAUUAGUUAGUUGGUGGGGUAAAGGCCCACCAAGACAAUGAUACGUAGCCGACCUGAGAGGGUGAUCGGCCACACUGGGACUGAGACACGGCCCAGACUCCUACGGGAGGCAGCAGUAGGGAAUCUUCCACAAUGGGCGAAAGCCUGAUGGAGCAAUGCCGCGUGAAUGAAGAAGGUCUUCGGAUCGUAAAGUUCUGUUAUUAGAGAAGAACAAGUCAAGGAGUAACUGUCUUGACUUUGACGGUACCUAACCAGAAAGUCACGGCUAACUACGUG